CAAGUCGAACGGCAGCACGGGAGCAAUCCUGGUGGCGAGUGGCGAACGGGUGAGUAAUAUAUCGGAACGUGCCCAGUCGUGGGGGAUAACGCAGCGAAAGCUGUGCUAAUACCGCAUACGAUCUCUGGAUGAAAGCGGGGGACCUGCAAGGGCCUCGCGCGAUUGGAGCGGCCGAUAUCAGAUUAGCUAGUUGGUGGGGUAAAAGCUCACCAAGGCGACGAUCUGUAACUGGUCUGAGAGGACGACCAGCCACACUGGAACUGAGACACGGUCCAGACUCCUACGGGAGGCAGCAGUGGGGAAUUUUGGACAAUGGGCGCAAGCCUGAUCCAGCAAUGCCGCGUGCAGGAUGAAGGCCUUCGGGUUGUAAACUGCUUUUGUACGGAACGAAACGAUUCUCUUUAAUAAAGAGGGCUAAUGACGGUACCGUAAGAAUAAGCACCGGCUAACUACGUGCCAGCAGCCGCGGUAAUA
rnacentral:rRNA from 1 species